rfam:Ailuropoda melanoleuca scaffold1891_10, whole genome shotgun sequence.
GCCUGGCUGGCUCAGUGGGUGGAGUGUACGAUUCUUGAUCUCAGGGUUGUGGGUUCGAGCCCCAUACUGGGUG